rnacentral:ncRNA from 1 species
UACCGGGGAAUGAAGUUCUCCCCUGGCCGAAUCAUAUCGGACCAAAACCGCUGAAUGAAAAGCUGAUGACUUCUGCCU